rnacentral:rRNA from 1 species
AGUGAACGCUGGCGGUAGGCCUAACACAUGCAAGUCGAACGGCAGCACAGUAAGAGCUUGCUCUUACGGGUGGCGAGUGGCGGACGAGUGAGGAAUACAUCGGAAUCUACUUUUUCGUGGGGGAUAACGUAGGGAAACUUACGCUAAUACCGCAUACGACCUACGGGUGAAAGCAGGGGAUCUUCGGACCUUGCGCGAUUGAAUGAGCCGAUGUCGGAUUAGCUAGUUGGCGGGGUAAAGGCCCACCAAGGCGACGAUCCGUAGCUGGUCUGAGAGGAUGGUCAGCCACACUGGAACUGAGACACGGUCCAGACUCCUACGGGAGGCAGCAGUGGGGAAUAUUGGACAAUGGGCGCAAGCCUGAUCCAGCCAUACCGCGUGGGUGAAGAAGGCCUUCGGGUUGUAAAGCCCUUUUGUUGGGAAAGAAAAGCAGCAGGUUAAUACCCCGCUGUUCUGACGGUACCCAAAGAAUAAGCACCGGCUAACUUCGUG